AACGAACGCUGGCGGCAGGCUUAACACAUGCAAGUCGAGCGCCCCGCAAGGGGAGCGGCAGACGGGUGAGUAACGCGCGGGAACGUACCCUUUGCUACGGAAUAGCUCCGGGAAACUGGAAUUAAUACCGUAUGUGCCCUACGGGGGAAAGAUUUAUCGGCAAAGGAUCGGCCCGCGUUGGAUUAGCCAGUUGGUGGGGUAAUGGCCUACCAAGGCGACGAUCCAUAGCUGGUCUGAGAGGAUGAUCAGCCACAUUGGGACUGAGACACGGCCCAAACUCCUACGGGAGGCAGCAGUGGGGAAUAUUGGACAAUGGGCGCAAGCCUGAUCCAGCCAUACCGCGUGAGUGAUGAAGGCCUUAGGGUUGUAAAGCUCUUUCACCGGAGAAGAUAAUGACGGUAUCCGGAGAAGAAGCCCCGGCUAACUUCGUGCCAGCCGCCGCCGUAACAC
rnacentral:rRNA from 1 species